GAUGAACGCUGGCGGCGUGCCUAAUACAUGCAAGUCGAGCGGACGGACGAGAAGCUUGCUUCUCUGAUGUUAGCGGCGGACGGGUGAUUAACACGUGGAUAACCGACCGAUAAGACUGGGAUAACUUCGGGAAACCUUAUCUAAUACCGGAUAAUAGUUUGAACCGCAUGGUUCAAAAGUGAAAGACGGUCUUGCUGUCACUUAUAGAUGUAUCCUCGCUGCAUUAGCUAGUUGGUAAGGUAACGGCUUACCAAGGCAACGAUGCAUAGCCGACCUGAGAGGGUGAUCGGCCACACUGGAACUGAGACACGGUCCAGACUCCUACGGGAGGCAGCAGUAGGGAAUAUUCCGCAAUGGGCGAAAGCCUGAUGCAGCAAUGCCGCGUGAGUGAUGAAGGUCUUCGGAUCGUAAAACUCUGUUAUUAGGGAAGAACAUAUGUGUAAGUAAAUGUGCCCAUCUUGACGGUACCUACUCAGAAAGCCACGGCUAACUACGUG
rnacentral:rRNA from 1 species